rnacentral:rRNA from 1 species
UACGUAGGGACCAAGCGUUGUUCGGAUUUACUGGGCGUAAAGGGCGCGUAGGCGGCAAAUUAAGUCAGCUGUGAAAUCUCCGAGCUUAACUCGGAACUGUCAGCUGAUACUGAUGUGCUAGAGUGCGGAAGGGGCAAUCGGAAUUCUUGGUGUAGCGGUGAAAUGCGUAGAUAUCAAGAGGAAUACCUGAGGUGAAGACGGGUUGCUAGGCCGACACUGACGCUGAAGCGCGAAAGCCAGGGAGCAAACGGG